rnacentral:tRNA from 1 species
AGAAGUAUCACUCUAUUGGUAGAGUGCUGCCCUUACAAGGCAGGUGUCACUGGUGUAAUACCACGUAACUCAA